rnacentral:rRNA from 1 species
AUGCAGCUGCUCUCGGCGGCCUGCCGUGCCCUCUCCCUUGUCCUCGUAGUGCUGCUCCUCUCAGCCACCGGCGCCGCACCGGUCGAUGGCGACACGGCGUCCAGCAGCAACGCGGCGGCGUUGACGGCGGCGGGCGGCGUCAACUCCUCAUCGCCCGCGUCGGCGGUCGACGAGACCAUAGAGACGUACCUCUGCCACAUCUGCCUCGGCCGCGACCUGUUGAACAGGAGGGUCUGCCCCACCUACUGGCCCGACUGCCACGCCCUCUGCGACCCGCACCCGCCGCCCGCCGGGCCUCCUGCAUUGCCGGCCGCCCCCAACCGCGAUGAUCCGUGCUACGUCGUGAAGAUAUACAACAACGGCACCCACGCCGUCGUCCAGUACCUGGACUGCAGGCUGACCCGCUGGUGCUCCCUCACGUGUGGCGGAGGCGACGACGUGAGAGCCUUGGGUGCUGCUGCGACCUCCCCCGCGCCAGCAGCUCCGUCGUCCCUUCAGGGCAUGCCGCCGCCGCGCGUCGCCGAAAGGCGGGUGUGCAACUCGCAGGUCGCGGCUCGGGGCCGACCUGUCCCCGGUGGCGCGCGCGCACGCUCUCGGCUCGGAUGA